rnacentral:rRNA from 1 species
CAGUCGCCACGGUAAUACAGAGGGUGAGAGCGUUAAUCGGAUUUACUGGGCGUAAAGCGUGCGUAGGCGGCUUCUUAAGUCGGAUGUGAAAUCCCUGAGCUUAACUUAGGAAUUGCAUUCGAUACUGGGAAGCUAGAGUAUGGGAGAGGAUGGUAGAAUUCCAGGUGUAGCGGUGAAAUGCGUAGAGAUCUGGAGGAAUACCGAUGGCGAAGGCAGCCAUCUGGCCUAAUACUGACGCUGAGGUACGAAAGCAUGGGGAGCAAACAGGAUUAGAUACCCCAGUAGUCCCUGUCUCUUAUAC